rnacentral:rRNA from 1 species
AAAAAAGGUAUUGUUCCUGAUGCCGCAAUUUCGCGUGUGUGAAGAAGGCCUGAGGGUUGUAAAGCACUUUCAAUUGUGAAGAAAAGUUAGCGGUUAAUAACCGUCAUCCUUGACUUUAACUUUAGAAGAAGCACCGGCUAACUCCGUGCCAGCAGCCGCGGUAAUACGGAGGGUGCAAGCGUUAAUCGGAAUUACUGGGCGUAAAGCGUGCGUAGGCGGUUUAUUAAGUCAGAUGUGAAAGCCCCGGGCUUAACCUGGGAACUGCAUUUGAAACUGGUCAACUAGAGUAUGGUAGAGGAAAGUGGAAUUUCUGGUGUAGCGGUGAAAUGCGUAGAUAUCAGAAGGAACAUCAAUGGCGAAGGCAGCUUUCUGGACCAAUACUGACGCUGAGGUACGAAAGCGUGGGUAGCAAACAGGAUUAGAUACCCUGGUAGUCCACGCCGGUAAACGAAUGAAUAACUAGCCGUUGGGGGGAUUUACCCUUUAGUGGCGAAGCCUAACGCGUUAAGUUAUCCGCCUGGGGAGUAGGCCCCUAGGUUAAAACUCAAAGGAAUUUGACGGGGACCCCCACAAACGGG